rnacentral:rRNA from 1 species
UACGAAGGGGGCUAGCGUUGCUCGGAAUUACUGGGCGUAAAGCGCACGUAGGCGGCUUUCUAAGUCGGGGGUGAAAUCCUGGAGCUCAACUCCAGAACUGCCUUCGAUACUGGAGAGCUUGAGUCCGGGAGAGGUGGGUGGAACUGCGAGUGUAGAGGUGAAAUUCGUAGAUAUUCACAAGAACACCAGUGGCGAAGGCGGCUCACUGGCCCGGUACUGACGCUGAGGUGCGAAAGCGUGGGGAGCAAACAGG